rnacentral:rRNA from 1 species
GAUGAAUGCUGGCGGCGUGUCUAAGGCAUGCAAGUCGAAUGCUUAGUUUACUAAGCAUGGCAAACGGGAGAGUAACACAUUGAUAACCUACCUCGAAGACGGGGAUAACCUUGCGAAAGCGAGAAUAAUACCCGAUAGUAUAAAAUAACUUAAGUUAUUUUAUUAAAGCUACGACGCUUCGAGAGGGGUCUAUGGCCUAUCAGCUUGUUGGUGAGGUAAUGGCUCACCAAGGCAACGACGGGUAUGGGGCGCGAGAGCGUUACCCCACUCACUGGGACUGAGACACUACCCAGACUCCUACGGGAGGCUGCAGUCAAGAAUCUUCCUCAAUGGACGAAAGUCUGAAGGAGCGACGCCGCGUGUAUGAAGAAGCCUUUCGGGGUGUAAAGUACUUUUAACUGUGACAAAACAAUGAUGGUAGCAGUUGAAUAAGGGGCUGCUAACCUCGUG